rnacentral:rRNA from 1 species
AGAACGAACGCUGGCGGCAUGCCUAACACAUGCAAGUCGAACGCUCUUGGGAUUUCGGUCUCAAGGGAGUGGCGCACGGGUGAGUAGCGCGUGGGAACCUGCCCUGUUGUGGGGGAUAACCGAGGGAAACUUCGGCUAAUACCGCAUGCGCCCCCGGGAGUGAUCCUGGGGGGAAAGAUUUAUCGCAGCAGGAGGGGCCCGCGUCGGAUUAGGUAGUUGGUGGGGUAACGGCCCACCAAGCCUGUGAUCCGUAGCUGGUCUGAGAGGAUGAUCAGCCACACUGGGACUGAGACACGGCCCAGACUCCUACGGGAGGCAGCAGUGGGGAAUAUUGGACAAUGGGCGCAAGCCUGAUCCAGCAAUGCCGCGUGAGUGAUGAAGGCCUUAGGGUUGUAAAGCUCUUUCGCCCGCGACGAUGAUGACGGUAGCGGGAGAAGAAGCCCCGGCUAACUUCGUGCCAGCAGCCGCGGUAA